rnacentral:lncRNA from 1 species
GCAUGUAGUUAGACAAUGGGCGUUAAUGACUCAUUCAAACAUCAAUACUACAAUCUUUGCAGUUUUACUCCUGUUCAUAUUGAUUAUAAACAUAGAAAAAACGUUAUAGAAAAAUAACUGACCCACUGACAUUUACUUUGGUGAAAUUGCUACCCGUUGAUAUAUAAUUUGACAAUGAAAAAGAGACCCAUUCCUGUGGCACGUCUAUGUAUUCUUUAUAAAGAAG